rnacentral:rRNA from 1 species
AUGAACGCUAGCUACAGGCUUAACACAUGCAAGUCGAGGGGCAGCAUGGUCUUAGCUUGCUAAGGCUGAUGGCGACCGGCGCACGGGUGAGUAACACGUAUCCAACCUGCCGUCUACUCUUGGCCAGCCUUCUGAAAGGAAGAUUAAUCCAGGAUGGGAUCAUGAGUUCACAUGUCCGCAUGAUUAAAGGUAUUUUCCGGUAGACGAUGGGGAUGCGUUCCAUUAGAUAGUAGGCGGGGUAACGGCCCACCUAGUCAACGAUGGAUAGGGGUUCUGAGAGGAAGGUCCCCCACAUUGGAACUGAGACACGGUCCAAACUCCUACGGGAGGCAGCAGUGAGGAAUAUUGGUCAAUGGGCGAUGGCCUGAACCAGCCAAGUAGCGUGAAGGAUGACUGCCCUAUGGGUUGUAAACUUCUUUUAUAAAGGAAUAAAGUCGGGUAUGCAUACCCGUUUGCAUGUACUUUAUGAAUAAGGAUCGGCUAACUCCGUGCCAGCAGCCGCGGUAAUACGGAGGAUCCGAGCGUUAUCCGGAUUUAUUGGGUUUAAAGGGAGCGUAGAUGGAUGUUUAAGUCAGUUGUGAAAGUUUGCGGCUCAACCGUAAAAUUGCAGUUGAUACUGGAUGUCUUGAGUGCAGUUGAGGCAGGCGGAAUUCGUGGUGUAGCGGUGAAAUGCUUAGAUAUCACGAAGAACUCCGAUUGCGAAGGCAGCCUGCUAAGCUGCAACUGACAUUGAGGCUCGAAAGUGUGGGUAUCAAACAGGAUUAGAUACCCUGGUAGUCCACGCCGUAAACGAUGAAUACUAGGUGUUGGGAAGCAUUGCUUCUCGGUGCCGUCGCAAACGCAGUAAGUAUUCCACCUGGGGAGUACGUUCGCAAGAAUGAAACUCAAAGGAAUUGACGGGGGCCCGCACAAGCGGAGGAACAUGUGGUUUAAUUCGAUGAUACGCGAGGAACCUUACCCGGGCUUAAAUUGCACUCGAAUGAUCCGGAAACGGUUCAGCUAGCAAUAGCGAGUGUGAAGGUGCUGCAUGGUUGUCGUCAGCUCGUGCCGUGAGGUAUCGGCUUAAGUGCCAUAACGAGCGCAACCCUUGUUGUCAGUUACUAACAGGUGAUGCUGAGGACUCUGACAAGACUGCCAUCGUAAGAUGUGAGGAAGGUGGGGAUGACGUCAAAUCAGCACGGCCCUUACGUCCGGGGCUACACACGUGUUACAAUGGGGGGUACAGAGGGCCGCUACCACGCGAGUGGAUGCCAAUCCCUAAAACCCCUCUCAGUUCGGACUGGAGUCUGCAACCCGACUCCACGAAGCUGGAUUCGCUAGUAAUCGCGCAUCAGCCACGGCGCGGUGAAUACGUUCCCGGGCCUUGUACACACCGCCCGUCAAGCCAUGGGAGCCGGGGGUACCUGAAGUGCGUAACCGCGAGGAUCGCCCUAGGGUAAAACUGGUGACUGGGGCU